rnacentral:rRNA from 1 species
GAACGCUGGUCUCAUGCCUAAGAGAAAAAAGUCGAACGAAGGCUUCGGCCUUAGUGGCACACGGGUUUUUACACCGUGGGAAUCUGCCCUUGGGUUCGGAAUAACAGUGAGAAAUUACUGCUAAUACCGGAUGAUGACGUAAGUCCAAAGAUUUAUCGCCCAAGGAUGAGCCCGCGUAGGAUUAGCUAGUUGGUGGGGUAAAGGCCCACCAAGGCGACGAUCCUUAGCUGGUCUGAGAGGAUGAUCAGCCACACUGGGACUGAGACACGGCCCAGACUCCUACGGGAGGCAGCAGUGGG